UUACGGCCAUAUCACGUUAAAACACUGGUUCCCGUAGGAUCACGAAGCUAAGCAACAUCGAACGUGGUCAGUACCUAGGUGGGUGACCGAUUGGGAAUACCAGA